CAAUAAAGGAANCGUUUUCAAAUUUGCAAUAUGACGUGUCACUCAMUACGGGGCU
rnacentral:tRNA from 1 species